rnacentral:rRNA from 1 species
AGAGUUUGAUCCUGGCUCAGGAUGAACGCUGGCGGCGUGCCUAAUACAUGCAAGUCGAGCGGUAAGGCUCCUACAGGUGAUUUGAUUACGACAACCUCGGUUGUCACAGCAAACCAAUUCAACCCCGGCUAGGGAAGAAGCGGUAAGGGAAAAUCGAAUUACGUGUUGGAGUACACGAGCGGCGGACGGCUGAGUAACGCGUAGGAACGUACCCCAAAGUGAGGGAUAAGCACCAGAAAUGGUGUCUAAUACCGCAUGUGAUCUAAGGAUUAAAGCUUCGGCGCUUUGGGAACGGCCUGCGUUAGAUUAGCUUGUUGGUGAGGUAAAAGCUCACCAAGGCGACGAUCUAUAGCUGGUCUGAGAGGAUGAUCAGCCAGACUGGGACUGAGACACGGCCCAGACUCCUACGGGAGGCAGCAGUAGGGAAUUUUCCACAAUGGGGGCAACCCUGAUGGAGCAACGCCGCGUGCAGGAUGAAGGUUUUCGGAUUGUAAACUGCUUUUAUCUGUGACGAAUAUGACGGUAGCAGAUGAAUAAGGAUCGGCUAACUCCGUGCCAGCAGCCGCGGUCAUACGGAGGAUCCAAGCGUUAUCCGGAAUUACUGGGCGUAAAGAGUUGCGUAGGUGGCAUAGUAAGCGGGUAGUGAAAGCGUGUGGCUCAACCAUACUCACAUUAUCUGAACUGCUAAGCUAGAGGGCGAGAGAGGUUACUAGAAUUCCUAGUGUAGGAGUGAAAUCCGCAGAUAUUAGGAGGAAUACCGAUGGCGUAGGCAGGUAACUGGCUCGUCCCUGACACUAAGGCACGAAAGCGUGGGUAGCAAACGGGAUUAGAUACCCUGGUAGUCC